UUCCGGUUGAUCCUGCCGGACCUGACUGCUAUCGGAUUGAUACUAAGCCAUGCGAGUCAUUGUAGCAAUACAAGGCAGACGGCUCAGUAACGCGUAGUCAACCUACCCUAUGGACGGGAAUAACCUCGGGAAACUGAGUAUAAUGCCCGAUAGAACACUAUACCUGGAAUGGUUUGUGUUUCAAAUGAUUUAUUGCCAUAGGAUGGGACUGCGGCCUAUCAGUUUGUUGGUGAGGUAAUGGCCCACCAAGACUAUUACAGGUACGGGCUCUGAGAGGAGUGGCCCGGAGAUGGGUACUGAGACACGGACCCAGGCCCUAUGGGGCGCAGCAGGCGAGAAAACUUUGCAAUGUGCGAAAGCACGACAAGGUUAAUCCGAGUGGUUUCUGCUAAAGGAACCUUUUGACAGUCCUAAAAACACUGUUGAAUAAGGGGUGGGCAAGUUCUGGUGUCAGCCGCCGCGGUAAAACCAGCACCUCAAGUGGUCAGGAUGAUUAUUGGGCCUAAAGCAUCCGUAGCCGGCUCAGUAAGUUUUCGGUUAAAUCUGUACGCUUAACGUACAGGCUGCCGGGAAUACUGCAGAGCUAGGGAGUGGGAGAGGUAGACGGUACUCGGGAGGAAGUGGUAAAAUGCUUUGAUCUUUCGAUGACCACCUGUGGCGAAGGCGGUCUACCAGAACACGUCCGACGGUGAGGGAUGAAAGCUGGGGGAGCAAACCGGAUUAGAUACCCGGGUAGUCCCAGCUGUAAACUAUGCAAACUCAGUGAUGCAUUGGCUUGUGGCCAAUGCAGUGUUGCAGGGAAGCCGUUAAGUUUGCCGCCUGGGAAGUACGUACGCAAGUAUGAAACUUAAAGGAAUUGGCGGGGGAGCACCACAAGGGGUGAAGCCUGCGGUUCAAUUGGAUUCAACGCCGGG
rnacentral:rRNA from 1 species